AAGAACAGCAUUUAUUGGAAAUCUAAAUAUUUCAGAACUUUAUAAAUGUCUCAACUCUCACUUUUGAUCAGUUGGAAGCAUACUUGCUGAACAAAAAGAUUGCUGAAAAAGAAAAUUACUGACCCCAAACUAUUGCAAGUUAAAAAGGUAAAAACAGUGAGGACAAAUAGACAGUGAGGUAGCUCACAAGGUUUUGAAACAGAGCUUCUGUUGUGGUUUCUCACAGAGACAAAACAGUCAGAAUGAAUGAAAAGACUGACCGUUGCUGUCUCUCAAAUGGUCGGCACCAUUUAUGGUUGACAUUGAGGGUAAGAGUGAAUCCAAGUAUUUGCAAUGGACCAAGCACCUUCAGUGUACUGCCUCCGAUAGACAUACCUCACCUUUUUCAGAGUUGUCACACUUGUCAUAGUUUUUGUAUAACCUAUUGAGUGCUUUUCAAUAUGCAUGAGAAUCUGUAUGGUUUCCAAUGCACUACUGUACAAACCCUCUGGUGUGUUUUUCGCUAUGUCUAGACAAUUUAGAUGUCUUUUUCUGUGACUCUUCUUAUGUUUGUGACCAUGUUGUCUUUUGAUACAGGGGUUUUCCUGCUCUGAUCUAUGAAUCUGCUUGUUACAAGCGGUAAUUGCUUCUUUAUUCAUAUCUCAAUUCCUUUAAGAUACACCGGUCAUGAAGUAUAGUUCAUGUUGGAAGAAUGACCUGUUCUCUUUUGCAAAGUCUGUCCUGCAUGAAAAUGGAAUAAUAUGAAUUUAUUGUAAAUUCACAUUAUUUGUCAUUAAACAACAUAAAAUAAAGAUGUUUUGUGGAGCAAAAAAACACAAAUUUAUACUUUCCACAAGUUGUCUGUCUUUCAAGUUAAUCUUAUCACUGUAAGAACAUAAUUCAGCGUCUUAGGAAGCUUACGGCGGGUUUUGUUUCAUCGACACUAACUGCUGUUUGUGCUAUUUCUCCCAUUGUUUCUUUGUGUUCGAGUAUAUUCUCUGGCCAAUGGAGACACGUCUGUCCAUCAUCCUCCUGCCUGCCUCUGCUUUCAAAGGGACGAGACCUCUUCAAGGCCCUUUAUCCAGGUCAUUCCUAAAGGCAUGUUUAGAUCCAACACAAAGCAAAGCUCCGAUUAGAACAUCUAGUUGAGAGCUGAUGCGUACGGGAUUUAUGAUCCCAUCUCAUAUGUAGCAUCACUAAACAUCUCUUUUUUAUUAAUAUUUUUAUAAAAUCCUUCUUUGGCUUGAGCUGUAGAUCUGUACAUUUAUGUCAAGGACCAUAAAUUUGAUAAGAAGAGGGCCCCUUUCUAAAAUAUAGAGGCAGCUACAGUAUAUAUUUUCAUGUAAUAAAACCCUUGUAUAUUGCAUGUGAAAUGAAAUUACACCCGUUUGAAUUCUAUGGUUUUACGUAUCAAGACAUAAAUAAUCGUCUGGUCAUUAGCCGGUCAUAAAAUCACCUGUGUGUGUCCUAAACGACAUAUUACACCGUGUCAUUAUUUAUUUAACAAAAAUUAAACCAAAAAGGUGAAGCCAUGCGUGACAAACUAAGUACACCUAUGAUUUAAUUGCUUGUAGGACCACCUUUAGAAGUAAUAACUUGUAGUAAUUUCAUUGUGGAGGAAUUUUGGCCCAUUCUUCUUUACAACGUUGCUUCAGUUCAUUGAGGUUUGAGCUCUCUGGUCCCGCCACAGCAUUUCAGUUGGGUUGAGGUCUUGGCCGGUAUAACACCUUUUUUUUUUUAUCCAUUACGUUGUAGAUUUCCUGGAGUCCUUGGUAUCAUUGUCCUGUUGCAUGCACGUUCUGACCUUGGGGUGAAUUCAAUUAAUCAAAGACAUCUGAUUAGCAGUGCCUGACUGCUACUUUACCCUCUUAAUACCUAUGAAAGCAGUAAGGGUGCACUUAUUUGUCACACAUGGCUCCAUUUUGGCUUAGUUUUUGUUAAAUAAACCAUGACAUGGUGGAAUAUUUGUUGUUGUUAAUCUGAGGUUGUAUUUACCAAAUUUUAAGACCUUGGAAUUCAAAAGGGUGUACUUUAUUUUUCACAUCACUGUAUUUAUUUUAUACAUACUGUACAUCCACUAGUAAUUACUCAAGUUUACUCCAAUUAUUCCAAGUUAAUUUUGACAGCCCUAAAAUAAAAUCACAUUUUAUAACACAUUUUUUCUGUGCUUUUGUCAAUUCUAUCUGCCAGCAUUAUUAUUGGUCUGAUCACUGCAUUCACUUUAGUUUGGUGUGAACCAAAGAGGUUUGUUCCUGGAAUUUUUUUGUGUCAGGUGAUAAUUGUGUAUUUCCACAGGAUAUUUCAAGAACGUGUGCUUUCUGUAAUGUCCCUAGAUACUGCUAUAUUUAUUCUCUGUAUUGUAGGUGCUGUCUGAUAAAGAAGACUCUUUAAGGAAAUCUCAUCUGGAAAAAGGUUUCUGUUUUAGCGAGAGCUCUUAAUGAGAAUUAAGCUGUUGAUUUUAAGUUGACUACAGUAUUAGCCUUUAAACAAUUUGGCAAAGUUAUAGAUACUGUUGUUCUUUUUGUCAAAUCAUUUGGCAACAUCCAAAUGUAUUUAUGCAGUACAUAACACUUUUAUAUCUACAUUUGCAAGUUAUAAGCAUUUUAUAUUUGAGUGUAUAUAUAUAUAUAUAUUAUUGAGAAUGUGUACAUAUUCCUCACAAAUUAAAUUAUUGGCCCAACGAACAUAAGUUUCAAUUUGGUAAAUACAUUCUAAAUUUUUCAACCAAAAGGUAAUGCUUUUCUUUUUUAUGAAAUACAUGUUUGCUUGUCACCUACAAAAGUGACCUUUACUUUAAACCAUAACUAACCAUUUUUAAUUCUAUUUUCAGGGUAAGUGUUAAAGUUUUCCCUACUGUCAAUGAGACUCCAAGUGUGUGAAAGAUCCUGAUGGCCAGCUGCUUUCCUACUCUAUUAUUGAAGUGCCUCCUCAUCCACUCUUGGGGGAAAUGAUCUACACAGCCAAACAAUGUGUUCAUUUUGUCACAUUAUAUAGCCAAUAUUGCAUAUUUUAUAGAAACAUGUCUGAAUGUUAAUAAACAGUGAAUUUUAAAA